GAUUGAAAUUAGCAGUCCCCUUGCUCAAGAUCGGUUUUUGGCUCGAACCGGCAAGCUAACUAGAGAUUGGAACGAUGGUUAUUUCAAUCCCAGAUAGGCCGUUUGGUCCGGUUUCCUCACUUUCAUCGGAUGAUGUUCUCGUAACUCUCUAACCGUCGGUGUCAUCCAUUUUCAGGUGAUAGGCAAAGGAAGUCAUCGGAGAAUGAUCAAAAUGCCUGUCAUAAUGAAAAUUAGCGCCGAAAAGAUAAGGCAUAGGGGAAGAACACGUAUGAGACUGACCAAAGAGGGAAAGUGAAAAUGUAAGAAUGACAGCCUACUCCCCCUGGUAUAUAUAGGCCUUGGCAUUUAAUGCUUGCAGAACUCGAAGUAGCUCAUCGGUUGACGAAAAAUUUAAUGCUUUUCCGAUAUUCGAUGUGCACUGACAGAGACCAGAAGGAGAGAACGAGUAGAAGAGAGAUCGGGAAGACAAUAAGAGAUCUGAGGUAAAGGGGAAGGAACGUAGAUCGGGCAGUUAAGUUUUCGGAUCAGAAACUAUUGAAAGAUCGAUCAAAGGGGAACAUGAUUAAGAGAUCGAGUAGAUCGAGAAAAUGGC
rnacentral:misc_RNA from 1 species